rnacentral:rRNA from 1 species
AUUGAACGCUGGCGGCAGGCCUAACACAUGCAAGUCGAGCGGAUGAAGAGAGCUUGCUCCUGGAUUCAGCGGCGGACGGGUGAGUAAUGCCUAGGAACCUGCCUGGUAGUGGGGGAUAACGUCCGGAAACGGGCGCUAAUACCGCAUACGUCCUGAGGGAGAAAGGGGGGGAGCUUCGGACCUCACGCUACCAGGUGAGCCUAGGUCGGAUUAGCUAGUUGGUGGGGUAAAGGCCUACCAAGGCGACGAUCCGUAACUGGUCUGAGAGGAUGAUCAGUCACACUGGAACUGAGACACGGUCCAGACUCCUACGGGAGGCAGCAGUGGGGAAUAUUGGACAAUGGGCGCAAGCCUGAUCCAGCCAUGCCGCGUGUGUGAAGAAGGUCUUCGGAUUGUAAAGCACUUUUAGUUGGGAGGAAGGGCAGUAAGUUAAUACCUUGCUGUUUUGACGUUACCCACAGAAUAAGCACCGGCUAACUUCGUG